CCAUAUGAAUUCUUCCAAUGCCAUUGCACUUUGUGUCAAGACUUCCAUAAGAUCUAAGUGGUCCACAUCUUUUCUUAUAAUCUCCUUCCUACGUCUUCCCUCUUCCCAUUUAACUGGAGUCUUCAUCUCAUACCCACAUCUCCUCACUGGAGCAUCUGAAGGCUUCCCGUUUCAAACAUAUAAGCCUUGUCUAGGUUGUCUCUUCCUCUCCUCCUGAGCAUGAACAAGAUAAUGCAAACUACUCUUGUAGCAGGCGUGCCACAUAUUCCAUGUCUUUCAGUGAACAUCUCUUUCCACCAAUGUUGGUAGGUACUUAAGGUUAAAGCUGCAUUCACGAGGGAAGAAAUAUUCAAGAAUGUUUUGCUCUCCUUUAAACAGCUUAUGAGAAAUGAACCUAUUAGGGAUAGAACAUUGCAUAAAGGGGACUAUAUCAACCAAAAUCAAACAUUUAAAGUACAAUUCAUUACAGCAAAUAAGUAAUCAUGACUCCCAAACCAGGGUCCAUAAACCCCGAUGGAAUUACUCUUGUAUUGAGCUUACUAAAAGAGCACACCUCAACGGCAUAAGGACUAAAGACUUUCAGAAUUAUAAGAAAACAUCAUAUAUAUUGGCCAUCAGGUUAAAGAAACAAAAGAGACAGCAAAAUGGGGGCUUCUUCUUUGCACUUAUCCGGUAAAAUGCAACCAAGUAAGCACGUCACUGAAAGACAUUUUGUUUUCACAUGUUCUACUCAGAUUUCCAAAACAUCAAGCCCAACUAACUACAAAACAACAACGAGUGUCAGACAAGCACCACGAAAAACAUAAGACUCUAAGCAAUGUUUCUAUUUCGAAGAUUAAAAGAAAAGACAAGGCAGAGCUGCGGCAUCGCGGGCUUUG
rnacentral:lncRNA from 1 species